rnacentral:lncRNA from 1 species
UCGAGAUCAAAGAUUUAAGUAAUUACUAGUCCUCCUAGACUGGUAUGUGGCCUCCCAUAUCUAUAGUUAUCUUGGUGCACGACCCAGCUAUCAUGUUUAUAAUAAAUAAAUAAUAAAAUUAAAUUAAUUAAAAUAUACAUAUGAUUAAUUCAAUAUGAAAUUAAGUUAAAUGUAGAAUUUUUACCAAUCUAUCGACCACAGC